UAAUUGCGCGUCAACUUGUGAACUGCAGGACACAUGAACAUCGACAUUUCGAACGCACAUUGCGGUCCACGGAUACAAUUCCCGGACCACGCCUGGCUGAGGGUCG
rnacentral:rRNA from 308 species